CCGGCAGAGGAUAACCCUAGAGACUUUCCGCAGACUGCCGCCGGCUUACACAUCCGUGACGGGAACGAGAGGUUUGUGCCGUCAUGCGGCUGGGAAGCAGCGAAAGCGCCGAAGAAGCAAACAAGGGAACGCAUCAUUCCUGAGUGGAAACUGACAGGCAAAAGGAAGGUUAUCCGACGGAGCUCUGGAGAGAGCGGCAGAAUCAGCAGAAGGAAAAGGAUUUGUGCCGCCGCCUACGUGGCUAUAACCAACUGGUAAAAGGACAGAGAG
rfam:Lachnoclostridium sp. An131 An131_contig_19, whole genome shotgun sequence.